rnacentral:rRNA from 1 species
UACGUAGGGGGCUAGCGUUGUCCGGAAUCAUUGGGCGUAAAGCGCGUGUAGGCGGUCCGGUAAGUCCGCUGUGAAAGUCGGGGGCUCAACCCUCGAAUGCCGGUGGAUACUGUCAGACUAGAGUACGGAAGAGGCGAGUGGAAUUCCUGGUGUAGCGGUGAAAUGCGCAGAUAUCAGGAGGAACACCGGUGGCGAAGGCGGUUCUCUGGGCCUUACCUGACGCUGAGGAGCGAAAGCGUGGGGAGCAAACAGG